rnacentral:rRNA from 1 species
AUGACAUGUAUAUCAGUUAUUUCAACUUGCACUUUAGGCCUUGCCAGAUUCCUCGCAACCUGGUGGCCUGAAGGCAAUGAAGCUGACGCAUUGCACUUGGCGCAUGUUGUCGAAGCCGAUGACGCGGACAUAGGCGUCAGGGUACUCCUUCUUAACCUCCUCCACCUCGUUGAGCACCUGUGUGGCGUCGGUGCACCCGAACAUAGGCAGCUUCCACAUUGUCCAGUAUCGACCGUCGUAGUACCCGGGGGAGCUGUUGUGCUCACGGAAGACAAAGCCAACCUUGCUGAACUCGAGGCAGGGUACCCACUUGGAGCGGAUCAAGUAGUCGACCUGCUUUAG